GGCUAAACAGGCCCAGCUCCCUCAGCCUGUCUUCAUAGGAGUGGUGCUCCAGCCCUCUGAUCAUCUUCAUGGCCCUUCUCUGGACCCUGUCCACCAUCUCUACAUCUUUCCUCUACUGGGAGCUCCAGACCUGGACACAAUGUGGAAGUUAGAGCACAGAAAGAUGAAGCUAUUUGUUCCAAGUCAUCCAAAAGAGCAGCAACAAGGAGAAAAAUAGAAUGGAGUCCUUCAGUUCUCACUCUGUUGCAUCUCUCUGUCUUCCUAUUUUGAUGAAAAUGUCUGAAAUUUAGUUUUUAUAGAUACUAUAUUGUCAGUAUCUUACAAGCUGUCCAGAGGGAGCCUGACCAAACCAGGAGAAACUGUAAGACCACUAAUGUCAGUGAUGAUGAAUGAGCUUUGUGGGAUUGGGGCCAUCCUGAGGACAGGGGGGAAGGCUGUAACUCCCACUUCAACCUGAGCCAUGAGCACACAGUGCUCUUGAAAGGCAAAUCUUAGAUGAUUGGCAGUAGACAUCCGUAAGUGCUUGGAAGAAAACUGCCAGCGGACAUCUCAGUUAAGUUUCUUCCUGACUGGAAGAUAGGGAAUGUAGUACAGUAACAGAUACAUCAUCCAAUUUGUGGAACCGGGGAAGGCAUUUAAAGCAUGCAGAAUGCUUUGAAGGACCACUAAAGAAAAAAAAAAUAACCUGCAAAAUACUCCUACCAGGUUUGAAUAGGCACAUUUUGACACGUUGAGCAAUGAUUAUCAGUAGUUGUCACCAAGGGCUUCAAAAUUCUUCUAACAAAAGAGAAAAUGCAGAUUUUAUAGGUUAAUGGUAAUCCAAGAAAAAUAGGCUUACUUCGGCUUUUCAUAACAAUAUAGAAAGAGCUGAAGCUCGAACGUGAUAAAGGAACACGAAAAGACUGGUUUGUGGUUUUCUGUUACUCACAAGAGACAAGUUCAGCAUUUGAUUUCAGGAAGUUUAUAAGGGCUUUGCAAGGUGCUCACCAUUUGCACAAGUGUGUCAGCAAACCGUUGUAAAACUGAAACUUAACCAUGACAUUUUACUUGGUGGUGAGACUCUCAGUGACUUGCAGUGUUUGAGGGUCAAAAGGGACAAAGAGGACAAUGCAUUCCUGUGUCAGUACUGAUGGCAGAGGGCAUGUAGCCUGGAAUUCCCUGUCCAGGAUCCCCUGAGAACUGAUAUGACCUCCACCCUUGUUUGUCUUCCUUAAUUUGUAUGUUAAUGCUUCUUCAUUAUUCACUGAUUAUGCUCCUUUUUUCUCCAGCUAGAACUUCCUUGUGCCCUGGAAGUAUUCCACUUCCUCAAAUUUCUUGCCACAGGACUAUUUAUUUCCUAAAAUGUUCUGAGCUAUUGCAAAAAGUUUUCUUUCAUUACAGUAGUCUUUGCUAUGGUAAUUGAUAUUUGCUGUGCUAUUGCUGUAUAAAGCCAGGUGGUGAAAUCAUUUGUGAGUUGCUGCACUAAUGGUGGUGCCGUACCAUCUUUGGCUUGUGUCUCCUGGUGUGCAUCUCAUAAUGUUCAGAAUUAUCUCACAGUAUGUAGGACUAUCGUAAAAUGAGUCACUGCUAUCCUUUCCCAGUGAAUUUUGGAAGAAUUCAACUUUCCUUCUGAGCAAGCACAUAUAUUCUGAGAAAACUUCAGAGGACUGAAAAAUGGCUUUCUUUCUACUUACGGAAGUUAUCUUUCACUCAAAUGAGACAUCUCUUUAGCAUUUAGUUUAUUGCCCUAGGUAAGUUUGAUAGAUGUGAUACUUUCAGUAUUAACUUUCCAGCUGAGGAGCACCAAGAUUUUAAAGUCACAUUUCCUUCUCUGAAUAAGGGGCAAGCUGGGUGCAAUAUCUGAACAAUAUAAUGACAGGGAAGUCUCAUUUGUGGUAUCCAGCUGUGAACCCAACGCUCGUGUUGUCGUAAUCAAACCUUGUUGGUCCCUGUUCUGAAAUUAAUGUUUACAUCCUUUGUGGGAACAUAUUCACCUGUUAUUAUUCUAUGAUUCUAUGAUUAUUCACAUUGUAUUGUACAAUCCUUUUAAUGA
ensembl:lncRNA